rnacentral:rRNA from 1 species
GGCGGACGGGUGAGGAAUACGUCGGAAUCUGCCUAUUUGUGGGGGAUAACGUAGGGAAACUUACGCUAAUACCGCAUACGACCUACGGGUGAAAGCGGAGGACCUUCGGGCUUCGCGCAGAUAGAUGAGCCGACGUCGGAUUAGCUAGUUGGCGGGGUAAAGGCCCACCAAGGCGACGAUCCGUAGCUGGUCUGAGAGGAUGAUCAGCCACACUGGAACUGAGACACGGUCCAGACUCCUACGGGAGGCAGCAGUGGGGAAUAUUGGACAAUGGGCGCAAGCCUGAUCCAGCCAUGCCGCGUGUGUGAAGAAGGCCUUCGGGUUGUAAAGCACUUUUGUCCGGAAAGAAAAGCAUUGGGUUAAUACCCCGAUGUCAUGACGGUACCGGAAGAAUAAGCACCGGCUAACUUCGUGCCAGCAGCCGCGGUAAUACGAAGGGUGCAAGCG